CUCCUUGAAGUUGCUUAUUGGUGGAAGUUUUAAUACAGUCUUUUUCCCCUUAAAAGCUGUUUGGGAGGUAAAAAAGAUCACAUUCCACAGUGAACUACAUGAUUGUAGUCCAUUACUAAGUUAUGUUUAACAAU
rnacentral:snoRNA from 1 species